GGAUGCGAUCAUACCAGCACUAAAGCACCGGAUCCCAUCAGAACUCUGAAGUUAAGCGUGCUUGGGCGAGAGAAGUACUAGGAUGGGUGACCUCCUGGGAAGUCCUCGUGUUGCAUUCC
rnacentral:rRNA from 1 species